GGUAGUUGCUGCCAUGUUUGGGUCCCAGAAGCCUUGAGAGGGUGCUCCAAGUGCUCCAUCGACCUUGUUGACCGUGCUUUCACUUAGGGAGGACACCUGGAUGCAUCGGAAGCAGAAGAUGGUGAGUGUGCGCUGGGCCCCGGGAAUCGUUUGUGGCGAGUUUGUGAUACUGCGGUGGCUUUGGCGUAAUGUGGCGCCUCCGCCCUGACGUUACCCUGGCGCGGUGCAGCUGAAUGUGGCGUGGAGUCUGGCACCAGCGCAGGCUUCCCACUUGCUCUUGAAUUGUGUGCAUAUGAGGCAACAGGAAGUCUGGGGUCCUAUUCUGUCGCCAUGAAGCUGUUUUACUGUAGACCGGGUCUUGUCAGGGUGAGUCCGGGUCAAGAACUUGAGCUGCUGCAGACAUUGCAGCGCUGGCAGGUUAGUGCUGCUCAGACUCCCAUCAAAACUAUUGCUGCGCCGGGCGUGGGUAGCGAACUCUGUUUUCCCGUCCUUGCACUCCCACUCGACCUGCUUUAGUUUACCUCUGUGAUCCUUCUGGGUUCUUUUAAGAAUUUCUCUUUAGUCUUGAAAUUUUUAAUGCAUAUAUGCAGUGAAAUAUGAUCGAUCAUAUCCGCCCCUAUUUCUCAUUCCAAGUCCCAAUACACCUCUCUUCCAGAUUAAUUAAUUAAUUAAUUUAUUAUUAUUAUUAUUGUUAUUAUUAUUACUAUUACUAUUAUUUAUUAUUCCACCAGUUAGUGUUGCCAGUAUGUGCAGGGUGUUUGGAAAGGGAAUCCUAUCAGUGGCUACUUCUCUAAACAGAACAAUUCUCCAAAAAUACUGUUAAUUGCCAGUAACUACUUGCUAAGUUGUGGGCUUGGACAGUACCACUCCCCAUCUAUGUCUGAUAUUGUGCAGGUAACCACAGCUGUUGUGAGCUCCUAAGUGCAAUGACCCUACCAUGUCCAGGAGACAGCAUUCCACAGUAUUCUUCUCCAUCCUCUGGUUCUUAACGCUCCUUCUGUCUCCUCUUCUGAGAUGCUCCCCUGAGCAGUGGUGGAGGCAGCUGGGGUUAGGUGUAGAUGUCCCAUUUACAACUGAGCACUUUGUCUCUUAUUGUCAGCAAUUUGACCUUUUAUGCUUCUCUUUGUUGACUUCUCCUUCAAUGAAAAAAGAAAGAAAGAAAGAAAGAAAGAAAGAAAGAAAGAAAGACAAAUAGAAAUGAAAAGGAAGGACUUGACUGCUCCUAGUUAUGGCAGAGGAGAAAGUUUAUUGUAGAUAAAAAGGAGAGCCCAGCCAGCGUCAGAUCUAUCUGGGAGAGUUCAUCAUGGACGUGACCUGAGCCCUCUGAGGAGAAGGGGUAGGGUAAAGGAGAGGGGGGAGAGGGGGGAGAGGGGAACUCGUGCAGCAGCCAGGAGGCCAAAGGUACAAAGGCGAGUGACCAAAAUGGUUGGGUUGUAUAGGGAAUAGCAGCCCAGCCCCUUGGGCUGGAGAGUUCAGAGUAGGGGGUGUUAUGCCAUCCAGGAGAUCCCAUAAUCGGUAGGUGCUGAGGGAUGCUGGGAGAACCUGGUGGUCAGUGUCUGCUUUGAGGUUAAGCAGGCACCUCAGCCAUUUGUCCCACUGCCCACUGCAAAAAGAAGCACCUCUGAUCAAGGUUGAGAGCCAGAUCUAUAAGUAUCAACAUAAAUAUUUAUAAGGCACCUUGCCAGCAUAACCAUUUAGC
rnacentral:lncRNA from 1 species